GGGGCGUCGCGCGGGCGCCCGCGCGGACGACCGCGGUGGACGCGGAGCGCGCGAACCGCGCGCGGGUGAACGCCGCGGCGGUCGCGGCGGGUCUCAGCUGGGCGAGGACCGCCAUGGACUCUAUCCUCUGGAGCGUCGAGGGAAGUGAUGAAGAGGGUGCCUUGCCCGGCAGCCCGGAGGUCGCUCUUCGCGCGUGUCGCGGGAGUGCGCGACGGACGAGUCGGCGCGUUUGAUCGAGGCGCGCGGCUCGCGGCGGCGACGCGUCUGAGACGAGGGCGGCGACGCGCGUGCGGCUGUGCCGAGUCGCGCGCGCCGAAC
rnacentral:lncRNA from 1 species